UAAUUUUUUAGUAUCUUCGUACAUUUAGCUUCCAACUAAAAAGACUAUUUCUCAUAGAAAAAUU
rnacentral:tRNA from 1 species